GGUGAUCGGCCACAUUGGAACUGAGACACGGUCCAAACUCCUACGGGAGGCAGCAGUGGGGAAUAUUGCACAAUGGGCGAAAGUCUGAUGCAGCAACGCCGCGUGAGUGAUGAAGGCCUUCGGGUCGGAAAACUCUGUCCUCAAGGAAGAUAAUGACGGUACUUGAGGAGGAAGCCCCGGCUAACUACGUGCCAGCAGCCGCGGUAAUACGUAGGGGGCUAGCGUUAUCCGGAUUUACUGGGCGUAAAGGGUGCGUAGGCGGUCUUUCAAGUCAGGAGUGAAAGGCUACGGCUCAACCGUAGUAAGCUCUUGAAACUGGGAGACUUGAGUGCAG
rnacentral:rRNA from 1 species